rnacentral:rRNA from 1 species
GACGUAGGGCGCGAGCGUUGUCCGGAUUUAUUGGGCGUAAAGAGCGUGUAGGCGGCUUGGCAAGUCUGCUGUGAAAACUCGAGGCUCAACCUCGAGCUGUCGGUGGAAACUGCUUGGCUAGAGUCCGGAAGAGGAGAGUGGAAUUCCUGGUGUAGCGGUGAAAUGCGCAGAUAUCAGGAAGAACACCUAUGGCGAAGGCAGCUCUCUGGGACGGUACUGACGCUGAGACGCGAAAGCGUGGGGAGCGAACAGG